GAUGAACGCUGGCGGCGUGCCUAAUACAUGCAAGUCGAGCGAACAGAUAAGGAGCUUGCUCCUUUGACGUUAGCGGCGGACGGGUGAGUAACACGUGGGUAACCUACCUAUAAGACUGGGAUAACUUCGGGAAACCGGAGCUAAUACCGGAUAAUAUUUCGAACCGCAUGGUUCGAUAGUGAAAGAUGGUUUUGCUAUCACUUAUAGAUGGACCCGCGCCGUAUUAGCUAGUUGGUAAGGUAACGGCUUACCAAGGCGACGAUACGUAGCCGACCUGAGAGGGUGAUCGGCCAGACUGGAACUGAGACACGGUCCAGACUCCUACGGGAGGCAGCAGUAGGGAAUCUUCCGCGAUGGGCGAAAGCCUGACGGAGCAACGCCGCGUGAGUGAUGAAGGUCUUCGGAUCGUAAAACUCUGUUAUUAGGGAAGAACAUACGUGUAAGUAACUGUGCACGUCUUGACGGUACCUAAUCAGAAAGCCACGGCUAACUACGUG
rnacentral:rRNA from 1 species